rnacentral:rRNA from 1 species
UACGUAGGGACCAAGCGUUGUUCGGAUUUACUGGGCGUAAAGGGCGCGUAGGCGGCUUUGCAAGUGACGGGUGAAAUCCCACGGCUUAACCGUGGAACUGCCUGUCAGACUGCAUGGCUUGAGACCAGGAGAGGUGAGUGGAAUUCCCAGUGUAGCGGUGAAAUGCGUAGAUAUUGGGAGGAACACCAGUGGCGAAGGCGGCUCACUGGACUGGUACUGACGCUGAGGCGCGAAAGCGUGGGGAGCAAACAGG